rnacentral:rRNA from 1 species
CCCGCACAAGCGGUGGAGCAUGUGGUUUAAUCGAUGCAACGCGAAGAACCUUACCUGGGCUUGACAUCCCGAGAAUCCCCUGGAAACAGGGAGUGCCUUUCGGGGAACUCGGAGACAGGUGCUGCAUGGCUGUCGUCAGCUCGUGUCGUGAGAUGUUGGGUUAAGUCCCGCAACGAGCGCAACCCUUGUCUUUAAUUGCCAGCAUUCAGUUGGGCACUUUAAAGAGACUGCCGGUGUUAAGCCGGAGGAAGGUGGGAUGACGUCAAGUCCUCAUGGCCUUUAUGCCCAGGGCUACACACGUGCUACAAUGGGUGGUACAAAGAGAUGCCAACUCGCGAGAGCGCGCCAAUCUCAGAAAGCCAUCCUCAGUUCGGAUUGGAGUCUGCAACUCGACUCCAUGAAGUUGGAAUCGCUAGUAAUCGCGGAUCAGCACGCCGCGGUGAAUACGUUCCCGGGCCUU